rnacentral:rRNA from 1 species
UACGUAGGGUGCAAGCGUUGUUCGGAUUCAUUGGGCGUAAAGGGUGCGUAGGCGGCGCGGUAAGUCGGGUGUGAAAUCUCGGGGCUUAACUCCGAAACUGCAUUCGAUACUGCCGUGCUUGAGGACUGGAGAGGAGACUGGAAUUUACGGUGUAGCGGUGAAAUGCGUAGAUAUCGUAAGGAAGACCAGUGGCGAAGGCGGGUCUCUGGACAGUUCCUGACGCUGAGGCACGAAGGCCAGGGGAGCAAACGGG